rnacentral:lncRNA from 1 species
GCUCAAGUAGGCAACAAGAUUUACUCUUUUGGUGGUGAGCUCAUACCAAAUCAGCCCAUCGAUAAACACCUUUACGUCUUUGACCUCGAGACCCGGACUUGGUCCAUUGCUCCAGCCACCGGAGACGUUCCACACCUCUCUUGCUUAGGUGUCCGUAUGGUGUCAGUAGGAUCGACCCUCUAUACCUUUGGAGGCCGAGACUUUUCACGCCAAUACAACGGUUUCUACUCGUUUGACACGACAACAAACGAGUGGAAACUGCUAACUCCGGUGGAAGAAGGACCCACUCCUCGUAGUUUCCAUUCGAUGGCAGCGGAUGAGGAAAACGUUUACGUUUUCGGUGGAGUGGGUGCUAUGGAUCGAAUCAAGACACUAGACUCUUACAAUAUCGUUGACAAGACGUGGUUUCAUUGUUCGAAUCCAGGAGAUUCCUUUAGCAUAAGAGGAGGAGCAGGGCUCGAAGUGGUGCAAGGGAAAGUAUGGAUUGUGUAUGGAUUUAACGGAUGUGAAGUAGAUGAUGUUCAUUUCUACGAUCCUGCUGAAGACAAAUGGACACAAGUGGAAACAUUCGGUGUGAAGCCUAACGAAAGGAGUGUUUUCGCUAGUGCGGCUAUUGGGAAACACAUUGUGAUAUUUGGAGGUGAGAUUGCGAUGGAUCCACGAGCUCACGUAGGUCCGGGUCAAUUAAUCGAUGGGACUUUCGCGUUGGAUACAGAGACGUUGCAAUGGGAGAGGUUAGAUAAGUUUGAGGGGACUCCGAGUAGCAGAGGAUGGACCGCGUCCACGACUGGAACCAUUGAUGGUAAGAAAGGACUUGUGAUGCAUGGUGGUAAAGCUCCAACCAAUGACCGGUUUGAUGACCUCUUCUUUUACGGAAUUGACUCUGUCUGAUUAAGCGCGAUUUGAUCAUGACCGUUUGUGUUUUAUUUGUUUGUGUGUCUGUGUGUCUGUGUGAUGCAAUAAGGGAGGGAUCGUGAUACCUCUAUAUGAUCCUUCGUCAGCUUAUCCAUUUUAUUUUUUAUUUUCUAAAUGUAUCUUUUUGUUUUUUGUUUUCUGUUUUGUAUGUUUAAUGUUUCGUGGCUUGUUCAAUAAGAUGUUUAUUUUCCGAAUUUUUUUUGGGUAUGUUACGUUAUACUACAAACAAAAAUAUUAUGAUUUUGAUUUUCUCUAAAGAUGAAAUGAAUAGAACAAGAAGUCAGCAGAUAGGGUGGUUUCAUCUACUUUUGUGGUUGGUAAAUGUGGUUAGAAAAAUUUGCAUUGAAUUGUAAGUUUCUAUCCAUAAAAGAAACAAAAAAUUAAUGUAAUCAAGAGUGGAAAGUUACCAAUGGAUUAUAAAAAUCUUGCAAUUCUAAUAAAUCCUCAUGUCAACGGUACAGAUAAGAUAAGGGUAAGGGGCAAACAAUCUUGUUGGUUCAAAUGGCAAGUAAACAAGGGCAAUUAUAUCCACCUAAUCCAUUGCGUUUUCUUUCUCUAAUCUUAGAAUCUACUUUAAUUGUAUGUUUUUCUCUUUCAUCUACUUUCCAAAACUAUAUAACCUCAUUUCUAUACUUUUUAUGCAUUUAUUUUGAAACCCCUUUAUCAAAAAAAAAAAAGGGGCCAAUUUUUCUUCAAAAAUGGUUACUUUAAGAUUCUCAUAUACAGUGUGCCAAAAAAAAAAAAGGUACCUAAAAUAUUUAUUAUUUCAGAUAUUGGUCAACAUAUUAUCUGUAACAGAAAAAUGUUCACGUGAUAUUUGCGAAUCACAUUUUUCUAGGGGCAAAAGUGAUAUAUGAGAAUCUUAAAGUAACCUUUUCUAGAAUAAUUGCCCUUGUUUACUUGCCACUGUAGUCAUUUAUUUAAUUUAUGUUCAAAAACAGAUUACCUACCUAAUUCACCGAAACGAAAAAUUUUGUUGCCAGUUUUUGUUUUUUUUAAUUUUUUUUUUCCUCUUUUUAGUUUACCUUCUCUUUUUUCUGUUCAACAUUAAACUAGAAGGUAGAGUAAUAAAUAACGAUGGAUGGAUGUGUUGAAAACGCGCUUUAUGCAUGAUUCAUACGAGAGCAGCUGAGGAGGAGACAAAAAACGGGUCUACACUAUAUCAGACUUUUUUUUGUUUUUUUGGUGUAAAACUAUAUCAGAUGGAAAAAUAUCAACCAAAUAAUGUAGAAACUAUAUCAAACUUUUAACAAAACUAUCAACCCAAUAUUUUAUAUUUUAUUAAAAAACAAUACUAAUAAUUUUUCCUUUUCCUCGUUUUUUUUUUUCUGAUCAACCAUUCACACGUUGUUUUUCGUAAUUAUGAUUCUGCAUAAUGCUUUCUCUAAAUCAAAAACUCCACGCCACGGUUCAACUGAUGUAGUGCCUCCACCGUUGUCGUUUGACUCGUUGCAGAGGACACCAUUAUGCACUUCGAUUCAUUUUCAAAAUCGUCUUUCUCUACUGAAUUGUUACUCCAUUUAAUUUUUUGGUCCAUAGAUAACAUAGACCAUUAUACUAGUAUGUUAAAUGUAUACUUAUCAGUUACCGCACAACAUUAAUUCUUAAAGAGGGUUCAUUUUCGAGAAUUGAGUACAACACUACCAUUAGGCCAAAAUGCGAGAGGCAAAAAAAGAUAUAGCAUAUACUUAUCAUGAAUAAUGAAAAUCUUUUCCAUCCAAAUAAAAAUCUUUCUUCUCAUAAAAGAAAGAAGAGAAAAAACAAUGAGUUUGCAUAUCUUUAUCCUGUAGAAUGAUAAUCUUCCCCAUCAACUACUGUAGAUCGUCAACGUGUACUCACUUCCAUUAUCGAUCGAAUCAUCAAUUUAAUGCCUCGUGAAUCACGAGAUCAUAUAAUAUGACAAGAAAUUCGUCCCGUUUAUCUACUGCUGGUCAAUAAAUACUCAUGCAAUUCCCACCAAUAGAUCACUCAACCAAUUUCUUCUCAGGUUCUCUCUUCACACCUCUCCCCUUCUCUAUGAUUAUAGAUAGUAUAUGAUUUGGUUAAAUUAUCUAUAUUUCUUUUUUGAUAAAGGAUUUGGUUAAAUUUUUAAUUGCAGGUAAUACUCGUAAGAUUUAUCAACACAAGCAAAAAAGAUGGCCCAAAAGCUAGAAGCAAAGGGUGGUGAGAUGGGAGAUGUAUGGGAUGAUGGUGUUUACGAAAAUGUUAGAAAGGUAUAUGUAGGGCAAGCACAAUACGGUAUAGCCUUCGUCAAGUUUGAGUAUGUCAAUGGUUCUCAAGUGGUUGUUGGAGAUGAACAUGGAAAGAAGACAGAGCUAGGAGUUGAAGAGGUACUAAAAUAGAUUUUUUUUUUUUUUUUUUUUUUUUUUUUUUUUUAGUCAAAAGGUACUAAAAUAGAUUUAUAUGUUGUGAUUGAUCAAGAGGUAGGGUCUUUUUUUUUUUUGUUGCUUUCCGCAUUGAAAAUUGCUUGGUUUCUUUGCAGUUUGAGAUUGAUGCGGAUGACUACAUCGUAUACGUGGAAGGUUACCGUGAGAAAGUUAACGAUAUGACGUCAGAAAUGAUCACGUUUCUUUCUAUUAAGACUUUUAAAGGCAAAACCUCUCAUCCUAUCGAAAAAAGACCUGGGGUUAAGUUUGUGCUACAUGGUGGAAAAAUCGUUGGGUUUCACGGACGUUCAACAGAUGUUUUACACUCCCUUGGGGCCUAUGUUUCUUUGUCAUCCACUAUCAAAUUGCUUGGGAAGUGGAUUAAGGUAAUAAUCUCUUAGACCAAUCCAAAAACAAAAAUAAAAAAUUAUCUCACAUAAAUAUGUUGUUAUUGUUACCACCGCAAAAUCACUAAAUCACUUACGAGAAAGAAAAAAUGAAGAAGAAAAGAGGGUUGAAUUUGGAAUUCAGAUAAUGACACUUUUAAAAUUUAUAAUUUUAUUAAAUUUAUCUUAUGGGAGUUCAUUAAUCAGAUAAAUAAUUUCUUUAAAAAUAACUAAAAAAUAUUACUCAUAGGUGGAGCAAAAAGGAGAAGGUCCAGGGCUAAGAUGCUCACAUGGCAUAGCACAAGUAGGCAACAAGAUUUACUCCUUUGGUGGCGAGUUCACACCAAAUCAGCCCAUCGACAAACACCUUUACGUCUUUGACCUCGAGACCCGGACUUGGUCCAUUUCUCCAGCCACCGGAGACGUUCCACACCUCUCUUGUUUAGGUGUCCGGAUGGUGUCAGUAGGAUCGACCCUCUAUGUCUUUGGAGGCCGAGACGCUUCACGCCAAUACAACGGUUUCUACUCGUUUGACACGACCACUAACGAGUGGAAACUGCUAACUCCGGUCGAAGAAGGACCCACUCCUCGUAGUUUCCACUCAAUGGCAGCCGAUGAGGAAAACGUUUACGUUUUCGGUGGAGUGAGUGCUACGGCACGACUCAAUACACUAGACUCUUACAACAUCGUUGAUAAGAAGUGGUUUCAUUGUUCGACUCCAGGAGAUUCCCUUACCGCAAGAGGAGGAGCAGGGCUCGAAGUGGUGCAAGGGAAGGUAUGGGUUGUGUAUGGGUUUAACGGAUGUGAAGUAGAUGAUGUUCAUUACUACGAUCCUGUUCAAGACAAGUGGACACAAGUGGAAACAUUCGGUGUGAGGCCUUCCGAAAGAAGUGUAUUCGCUAGUGCGGCUAUUGGGAAACACAUUGUGAUUUUUGGAGGUGAAAUUGCGAUGGACCCGCUAGCUCACGUGGGUCCAGGUCAAUUGACCGAUGGAACUUUUGCAUUGGACACAGAGACGUUGCAAUGGGAGAGGCUGGAUAAGUUUGGUGGAGAGGAAGAGACUCCGAGUAGCAGAGGAUGGACCGCGUCCACGACUGCUACCAUUGAUGGUAAGAAAGGACUUGUGAUGCAUGGUGGUAAAGCUCCAACCAAUGACCGGUUUGAUGAUCUCUUCUUUUACGGGAUUGACUCUGCCUAAUUAAGGCAGAUUUGGUGAUCAUGAACGUUUGUGAAUGUGUGUGUGUGUGUGUGGGUCUGUGUUUGUGUGUGUAAUAAGGGAGGGGUAUACCACCAUAUGAUCCUUCCCCAGCUUGACCAUUGUUUUUUUUUUAAUAUGUUUUUCUUUCUACAUGUUUGUUUCACGUUUCAUGUUGUAUCCAAUAAAUUGUGUACUUUCCUAGUAGUAAUCGCCAGAAAAAAAAAAAAAAAAAAAAAACCUAGUAGGUAGAGUCAUAGCUUACAAUUAAAUAAAUAACGAUGGAUGUGUUGAAAACGCGUUUAUGCAUGAUUCAUGAAUUGUAUAUACGAGAGCAGCCGAGGAGGAGAUAAAGAGAGGGGUCUACAAUGAUCAAUACUAACUUAAUUUUGUAGUGUUGUCAGUCAAUAAUGUAUACCUAUCAAAAUGGGGCCUAUAUUCCAUCACUAGUGAGUUCGUCAGUCAAUAAUGUAUUUUCCGACACUUAAAAAACGUUCCAAAUCAUAAUACUUAUAAUUAUAACCAGAUAAGUUUUACUGAAUCCCAGACUAAUUCUCAAACUUUGCUAUCAUGUUAUUAACAAACAUUACAAUGUAGAGAAAUAUGGAUGCCCUAGUUUCAACUAACACGAUGAAUCAUGUCAAUCACUGUAUAAAUAGUUAAUAAGUUGUGACUUUUUUUUUUGUCGGCUAAUAAGUUGUGACUUUAGGCACCGUCAAUAUUCAACUGUAAUUAUAAUCGUAUAUAAUAAGUGAUUAUAUCUGUCAAAUAUCAUAUAUAACAAAUAAUAUAAUUGUAUGUAUAUAUAUUAUCUCUAUCAACUAUAAUCAUAUACAGAAAGAAAAAAAACAAGUGUUACAUCACGCUUAGCUUAAAAGUUUCGACUUUUUGCACCGUCAUAUUUCACGUGUAAGCAAGAAAUACAAAUGUAAAUAGAUUAUAAUUAAUGAAUUCUCUCGACUCUCUCAACAUAGUAUAUAAAAGGAAAUCUACACAUGAACCGUAUCUUUCUCACUUUUGAAAUAUUUUGAUGUUUUAAAGAAAUUUUUUCAAAAUUUUAUAUAAAUUAUAAAUUAAUUUAAUAUUUUUUGAUUAUUUAUAUUUUUCAUCAGUCUUGUUCAUAAUUGGUUGAAUUGUUUUAAAGUAAAUAUUUCUUUAGCUAAAACAUCUUAUACAAUUAAAAGAAAAAAGUGUAAUCAAAUAACCAAAUAUAAAUUAGUAUUUCAAAUUAUACUUAUUGCAGGGUGAUAAACCUUUUGUCCCAAGUGAAGUUAAACCUAUAAAUAUAUACCCCAUUUAGAGGGUCCUAUAUAACUAAAGUACCACAUAUUUGGUGGUUUAUAUCAUUCAAUUUUUUUGUAACUAACUUAAUAUUUGAUAUGUAAAAUCAUGUUAAAAUAGGAUCAGCAGAUAGAAUAUAUAAAAAAUAAGUCAUGUACAAACGUAACGUUCUUCAUAUCUUAGGUAACGUAUCUAACAAUUUUGUUAAAUAUUAUUAUUUUAAAAAAUUGAACAUAUUAUUUGGAAACUUUUCUUUUGAUAAUUUUGAAAUGGCACUUUGUAAUUAAGAGUUUAAUAAAGAACACGUCACACACAAAAACGAAGAAAGAGAUUAUAGAAAUUAAGUUGUGUUUUCAAUCUUCGUGUAUACAAAACAAAAAUAAAAAUUAGAAAUGAUAUUUCAUACGAUGUUGUUAAAUAAUAUAAUUAUGAAAAUUAGUUGUGCUUUAUAUUAUUAUUUUUGUUGGAAGCUCUAGAAACGAUCGACCUAAUAGUAUAUUUUUGUCACUAAAAAGUGUGAUUAAAAUAUAUAUAUAUAUAUAUAUAUAUAUAUAUAUAUAUAUAAUAUUGUAAUUUUCAACCAAUUCUCGGUUUAGGUGGUUUAUUAUUAUAUUGUUUUUUGAAAAAAUUAAAAAAUAUAUCCUUAUUAGUUCAUUCUUUUCUGGUCAUUCGUUCACACUUUACAACUUGGUUAAUGGCCACUUCUCAAGUUAUCGUUCUUUCAUUUGUUCUACAGUCGCAAGAAAUUAUCGUUCUUUCAUUUGUCAUUAUGCAUAAUGAUUUCUCUUUUCUUUUUAGUGCAUAAUGAUCUCACUACAUAAAAAAAUCUAUCUUACGAUUCAACUAUAUUUAGUCCCAUGCACUCGCUGCAUAACACAUUACUUUCUUCGAUUUAGAGUGAUUUUCACAACCUUGUUUCUGUAUUGUAUAUUUAGUUAGUGUUUGUGAUUACCAAAAAAAAAAAUUGUUUCUUCUUGGCUUAGUCUUUUUAUCUUUUUUUUUUUUUUUGCUUCAUCUAUUUUUCCUCCCAUGACAGAUGAAGACGGCAAGAGAUGCAGCAAAUCUCAUUUAUGAUCUAUCUGAAGAAUCAGCGUCAUCGAUUUGGAGACUCGAACCAUAACAAAAAGAGCAUCACAGUUUCAAUUUAAUUGCUCCUGGCGCUUCCUAUUUCAGCAACAAACAUUAAAUAAUUAAUCCAAUAGAGAUGAUAUAUAUGGAAAUUUCAAAACCAAAAAAAGAAACUUUCAAAACCAAAAUUGCGAAGCCAUAGAAAUCGUGGAUCAUGGAAUUGCGAAGACCAAUGUUGACAUAUGGGAAUUUGGUGUCCCAAUGAGCAGAGAUCACUAAGAUUGGUUUUCGGGAGGAACUUUUUGAGUUCAUGAUUUGAAGAAUUGUCUCGCCUAUAAGCUAUCGUCCAUAGUUUGAGAUUCAUGCGACAAGAAGAAGGUUUGAUUCACUUUCUCCAUUUAAUUGAAUCAUCUUCAUAGAUAUAUUUUCAUACUUAAUCAAUGUUUUUACCAAAAAAAUAAUGUUAUUUUAUUAUUUUGGUUUUAUGUGGUUUGGGAUUGGUGUAGAUUAUAAACCGAUUAAACCAAUGUUUUUGUGUUCUGAGAUUUCAAACUUUUGAACUAAAUAAAUAUACGUUUUGGGGAAUAUCCAAUAUCAAUAUGUAUCAUAGUUUGGACUCUAUCUAUUCCAGUAUGAUAAUUCCCGUGGAAAAAUAUAUCAUCGUCUCUAUUUUAUACAUGCACUUGCAACACAAACCAGCCAUAAAGUGGGUCUAUUCUUAUAAUUUAUGACAACAUGGAACACUAUCAUUGGGCCACGAUGCAAGGAGCGAAGGACGAUGCGAGAAGGUGCUUUACUGAUUUGAUGAACGUGGAGGUGAUUCUGAAUGAUACGAGAUCUCUAAGCUGAAUAUAUAAUAGUAUAGUUUUUCGUAAUUUUUUUUUGUUAAAUUUUUUAUCGCUGCUAAAGAUUAAAUGGCGAGUAAAACUAUACUAUUAUACUUUCAAAGAUCACCCGAGAAAAUGAUGACUGCACAUACUUUCAAUAUCCCAUAGAUGACAUAUCUGUUUUAUUUCCAUCAAGCUAUUCAUCGAAACAAAAGCACAUGACGAUUAUGGGAGAGAAACACUACUCUAAAAUCCCGUAAUAAGCUGCACCACCUAAUUUUUUGUGCCUUGACCAAAAAAAAUUCAAUGUUGCAGUUCAACGAACCUUCUUACGGAGGAUCUUUAAACAAAAUUUAUUUGGUACAUAGAGAAAAAUAUUUUAAUAUAUACUAAUUUAAUGCCUCGCGAUCAACGAGUAGAGAAAAAAUAUGUCGCGUGUAUCUUCUUCCAUUGGUCAAUAAAUACCAAUGCAAUGUUUACUACACAAAUCAUUACUUCAGUCUCACUCUCAGGUCAGCUCUCUCCACAUCUCUCUCAUAUGAUUGUACUAUGUAUAAGAUUUGGUAAUAUUUGUAAUUACAAGUAAAAUUCGUAAAUACAGAUAAUAUUCGUAAGAGGUUGAUCAAACGAAAGCAAAAGAGAUGGCCCAAAAGGUUGAAGCACAAGGAGGAAAUGGCGGUAACCAAUGGGAUGAUGGAUCCGAAUACGACGCUGUGACCAAGAUUCAAGUCGCAGCAGGCGGGAACGGAAUUGAAUAUGUUAAGUUCACAUACGUCAAGAACGGACAAACCGAAGAAGCCCCUCUACGCGGUGUCAAGGGCCGUAGUUUCGAAGCAGAUCCGGUUCCUAUACACUAUCCUUGCCUAUCUCUUCAUUUUUAUCUAUAAGGACAUUGACGUGAAUUAAUAUAUAUAUAUAUAUAGGUUAUAUAUUGUCAAGGGUUUGUUUUGAUAAUGUUCUUUUUAAGAAAUUGACAUUUUGAUCUUGAUCUCUACAGUUUGUGAUAAACCAUCCGGAGGAGCACUUAGUUUCUGUAGAAGGUCGGUAUAACCCUGAAGGACUUAUUCUAGGGCUAACGUUCAAAUCCAACAAGAAGACUUCUGAUCUCAUUGGAUAUGAAGAUGGUACACCGUUCACUCUCCAAGUUCAAGACAAGAAGAUCGUUGGAUUUUAUGGCUUCGCUGGAAACAAUCUCCAUUCUCUUGGAGCGUACUUUGCUCCGUUGACUAAUGUAACCCCCUUGAAUGCCAAAAAGCUAGAAGCAAAGGGUGGUGACACGGGAGAUAUAUGGGAUGAUGGUGUUUACGAUAAUGUUAGAAAGGUAUAUGUAGGGCAAGCCCAAUAUGGUAUAGCCUUCGUCAAGUUUGAGUAUGUCAAUGGUUCUCAAGUGGUUGUUGGAGAUGAACAUGGAAAGAAGACAGAGCUAGGAGUUGAAGAGGUACAAAAAUAGAUAAUUCUAUGUUGUGAUUCGUCAAAAGGAUAUAUAUAUAUAUAUAUUUAUAUGGGUAACCUCACUCAAAAUUAUUUGGUUUCUUUGCAGUUUGAGAUUGAUGCGGAUGACUACAUCGUAUACGUGGAAGGAUACCGUGAGAAAGUUAAUGGUAUGACCUCAGAGAUGAUCACUUUUCUUUCAUUCAAGACUUAUAAAGGCAAAACCUCUCAGCCUAUCGAACAAAGACCUGGUAUUAAGUUUGUGCUACAAGGUGGAAAAAUUGUUGGGUUUCACGGACGUUCGACCGACGUUCUAGACUCCCUCGGGGCUUAUAUUUCAUUGUCGCCCACUCCAAACUUGCAUGGAAAGUGGACAAAGGUAGUAAUCUUUUAUAUAUCACCAUGGGAGCUAGUUCACUAAGCAGACUCUAUAUUAUAAAAAAUCCUAACUAACAAGUAUUAUUAAUUAAUUAUAAGGUGGAUGAAAAUGGAGAUGGUCCAGGGCUAAGAUGCUCGCAUGACAUAGCACAGGUAGGAAACAAGAUUUACUCUUUUGGUGGUGAGUUCACACCAAAUCAGCCCAUCGACAAACACCUUUACGUCUUUGACAUCGAGAGCCGGACUUGGUCCAUUUCUCCAGCCACGGGAGACAUUCCAACCCUCUCUUGCCUAGGUGUCUGUAUGGUGUCAAUAGGAU